rnacentral:rRNA from 1 species
GUGAGGAAUAUUGGUCAAUGGGCGCAAGCCUGAACCAGCCAUGCCGCGUGCAGGAUGACGGCCCUACGGGUUGUAAACUGCUUUUGCACGGGAAGAACCUCCCCGACGUGUCGGGGAUUGACUGUACCGUGAGAAUAAGCAUCGGCUAACUCCGUGCCAGCAGCCGCGGUAAUACGGAGGAUGCUAGCGUUAUCCGGAUUUAUUGGGUUUAAAGGGUGCGUAGGCUGGCGGAUAAGUCAGUGGUGAAAUCCUGCAGCUUAACUGUAGAAUUGCCAUUGAUACUGUUCGUCUUGAGUUCGGUUGAGGUAGGCGGAAUGUGUAAUGUAGCGGUGAAAUGCUUAGAUAUUACACAGAACACCGAUUGCGUAGGCAGCUUACUAAGCCGUUACUGACGCUGAGGCACGAAAGCGUGGGGAGCGAACAGGAUUAGAUACCCUGGUAGUCCACGCCGUAGACGAUGAUCACUAGCUGUUGGCGAUACAUUGUCAGCGGCAAAGCGAAAGCAUUAAGUGAUCCACCUGGGGAGUACGGCCGCAAGGUUGAAACUCAAAGGAAUUGACGGGGGCCCGCACAAGCGGUGGAACAUGUGGUUUAAUUCGAUGAUACGCGAGGAACCUUACCUGGGCUUAAAUGUUGGGUGCAUUCCCGGGAAACCGGGAUUCCCUUCGGGGCUUCCAACAAGGUGCUGCAUGGUUGUCGUCAGCUCGUGCCGUGAGGUGUCGGGUUAAGUCCCAUAACGAGCGCAACCCCUAUCGUUAGUUGCCAUCGGGUCAUGCCGGGGACUCUAGCGAAACUGCCGGUGUAAACCGCGAGGAAGGUGGGGAUGACGUCAAAUCAGCACGGCCCUUAUGUCCAGGGCUACACACGUGUUACAAUGGCCGGUACAGAGGGCAGCUACCUGGUGACAGGGUGCAAAUCUCGAAAGCCGGUCCUAGUUCGGAUUGGAGUCUGCAACUCGACUUCAUGAAGCUGGAAUCGCUAGUAAUCGCGCAUCAGCCAUGGCGCGGUGAAUACGUUCCCGGGCCUUGUACACACCGCCCGUCAAGCCAUGGAAGCACGGGGGUACACUGAAGUCUGCAACCGCGAGGA